rnacentral:rRNA from 1 species
AGAGUUCGAUCCUGGCUCAGGAUGAACGCUAGCUACAGGCUUAACACAUGCAAGUCGAGGGGCAGCAUGGUCUUAGCUUGCUAAGGCCGAUGGCGACCGGCGCACGGGUGAGUAACACGUAUGCAAUCCACCUGUAACAGGGGGAUAACCCGGAGAAAUCCGGACUAAUACCCCAUAAUAUGGGCUCUCCGCAUGGAGGGUCCAUUAAAGAGAGCAAUUUUGGUUACAGACGAGCAUGCGCUCCAUUAGCCAGUUGACGGGGUAACGGCCCACCAAAGCGACGAUGGAUAGGGGUUCUGAGAGGAAGGUCCCCCACAUUGGAACUGAGACACGGUCCAA